rfam:Triticum aestivum genome assembly, contig: Triticum_aestivum_CS42_TGACv1_scaffold_320470_4BL
UAUGUAUUCCCUCCGUCCAAAAAUACUUGUCAUCAAAAUGGAUAGAAAGGGAUGUAUGCGGAACUAAAAUACGUCUAGAUACAUCUCCUUUAUUCAUUUUCAUGACAAGUAUUUCCGAACGGAGGGAAUAGUUU